CCAAGUUCACUGAGCUUGUCAGGUCACUGGUAAGUCCAAAAAGUCUGGAGCCUGCUUGGCUACAGGAGGCCCAGGGCACCCAGGUGGGUGAGCAAAGCCCCCUGGUGCAUCAGUGCAUUUCAAAGCCAGCUGCCCUUCACAGGGACCUGAUAGGAAUGGCAGAGGGCAGGCAGAGGCUGCCAAAGGCUUUAUCAGAACACCCAACACAAGUCAGUACAGUGGCCUGGCUUCAGAAGUUUUUAGCAAGGAGCUGGCUCAGUUAUUUCUACAGUCCUUCUUAAUGAAGCACAAAUAGCACACAGAUGUGCUUGCAUCCUUUCAGGGACAAGGUGGAGUUUUACUCCUCAAAGCAACCGGCACAGAACGAUAACCCAUUCCCACCUCUUGCCCUGGCACCUGGGAACUGAGAUCAACAGUGAACACUGGAGGCACAGCAGAUGGUGUCAAGCUUUCCAGAUAGCCAUGGUGCAGCCCUGCUCUCUCCUCGGGUUUCUUCAUCCCUGGCAGAGGUGACCUUGAGGAAGCAAAGCCUCGGGUCCCCAUCCCCAUGGCCACCACAGCUCACGGCAGAGACGCCGACGUCCCCCGGCUCGCCACAGAAGCUCUCUUCCACAUGACAGCAGCUCAGCAACCUCAAGGCAAAAUUAAAUCUCUCUCCCUUCUGCCUGCA